AUAAACGUUGGCGGCGUGCUUUAUGCAUGCAAGUCGCACGAUUCACCGCAAGGUGGAUAGUGGCAAACGGGUGAGUAAUACGUAAGUGACCUAUCCUUAGGUGGGGAAUAACUCCGAGAAAUCGGGGCUAAUACCGCAUGUGGUCCUCCCCUCAGUGGGGGAGGAAGAAAGCCGCAAGGCGCUUGAGGAGGGGCUUGCGUCCGAUUAGCUAGUUGGCAGGGUAAAAGCCUACCAAGGCGAUGAUCGGUAGCUGGUCUGAGAGGACGUACAGCCACACUGGGACUGAGACACGGCCCAGACUCCUACGGGAGGCAGCAGCAAGGAAUAGUAGGCAAUGGGCGCAAGCCUGACCUCGCGACGCCGCGUGGGGGAUGAAGGCCUUCGGGUCGUAAACCCCUUUUCUCAGGGAUGAACAAUGACAGUACCUGAGGAAUAAGUCACGGCUAACUACGU
rnacentral:rRNA from 1 species